rnacentral:rRNA from 1 species
UGCCAGCAGCCGCGGUAAUACGUAGGGACCAAGCGUUGUCCGGAUUUAUUGGGCGUAAAGAGCUCGUAGGCGGUUUCGUAAGUCGGGUGUGAAAAAUCUGGGCUCAACCCAGUGGAGCACCCGAUACUGCGAUGACUCGAGUCCGGUAGAGGAGUGUGGAAUUUCUGGUGUAGCGGUGAAAUGCGCAGAUAUCAGAAGGAACACCGACAGCGAAGGCAGCACUCUGGGCCGGUACUGACGCUGAGGAGCGAAAGCAUGGGGAGCAAACAGGAUUAGAUA